rnacentral:rRNA from 1 species
AACGUAGGUUCCGAGCGUUAUCCGGAUUUACUGGGCGUAAAGCGCGUUCAGGCGGUUUGGCAAGUCGGGCAUGAAAUCUCUCGGCUCAACCGGGAGAGGUUGUCCGAUACUGCUGGACUUGAGGGCAGUAGAGGGUGGCGGAAUUCCGGGUGUAGUGGUGAAAUGCGUAGAUAUCCAGAGGAACACCAGUGGCGAAAGCGGCUCACUGGACCAUAUCUGACGCUGAGGUGCGAAAGCUAGGGUAGCAAACGGG